AGCGAACGCUGGCGGCAGGCCUAACACAUGCAAGUCGAACGAACUCUUCGGAGUUAGUGGCGGACGGGUGAGUAACACGUGGGAACGUGCCUUUUGGUUCGGAAUAACUCAGGGAAACUUGUGCUAAUACCGAAUGUGCCCUUCGGGGGAAAGAUUUAUCGCCAUUAGAGCGGCCCGCGUCUGAUUAGCUAGUUGGUGAGGUAACGGCUCACCAAGGCGACGAUCAGUAGCUGGUCUGAGAGGAUGACCAGCCACACUGGGACUGAGACACGGCCCAGACUCCUACGGGAGGAAGCAGUGGGGAAUCUUGCGCAAUGGGCGAAAGCCUGACGCAGCCAUGCCGCGUGAAUGAUGAAGGUCUUAGGAUUGUAAAAUUCUUUCACCGGGGACGAUAAUGACGGUACCCGGAGAAGAAGCCCCGGCUAACUUUGUG
rnacentral:rRNA from 1 species